CACGUAGGGUGCGAGCGUUGUCCGGAAUUAUUGGGCGUAAAGAGCUCGUAGGCGGUGUGUCGCGUCGGCCGUGAAAACCUGGGGCUUAACUCUGGGCGUGCGGUCGAUACGGGCAUCACUGGAGUUCGGCAGGGGAGACUGGAAUUCCUGGUGUAGCGGUGAAAUGCGCAGAUAUCAGGAGGAACACCGGUGGCGAAGGCGGGUCUCUGGGCCGAUACUGACGCUGGAGGUGCGAAAGCGUGGGGAGCAAACAGG
rnacentral:rRNA from 1 species